GGCCGCCUGGCGAAAUGGCAUCGCGUCUGACUACGAUACUCAGAAACUGGUGAAAGGUGUAAUCAGGAGAUUGCAGGUUCAACCCCUGCGGUGGUCA